CGGGAUAUAGCGCAGUGGUAGCGCGCAUCGUUCGGGACGAUGAGGUCGCCGGUUCAAAUCCGGCUAUCCCGA
rnacentral:tRNA from 1 species